rnacentral:rRNA from 1 species
UUGUAAUUGGAAUGAUAGAAAUUUAAACACUUUUUAAAGUAUCAAUUGGAGGGCAAGUCUGGUGCCAGCAGCCGCGGUAAUUCCAGCUCCAAUAGCGUAUAUUAAAAUUGUUGCAGUUAAAAAGCUCGUAGUUGAAUUUCUGCUAAAAAUAACCGGUCUGCUUUUAAUAAAGGUGGUAUCUUGGUGUGUUUUYAGCAAUAAUGUCCUUUGAAAUGUUUUUUACUUCAUUGUAAGAAAUUAUAUUCAGGAUUUUUACUUUGAGAAAAUUAGAGUGUUUCUAGCAGGCUAACGCUUUGAAUACUGCAGCAUGGAAUAAUAAAAUAGGAUUUUGGUUCUACAUUAUUGGUUUUAAGAGCUAAAUUAAUGAUUGAUAGGGACAGUUGGGGGCAUUUGUAUUUAACUGUCAGAGGUGAAAUUCUUAGAUUUGUUAAAGACAAACUACUGCGAAAGCAUUUGCCAAAGAUGUUUUCAUUAAUCAAGAACGAAAGUUAGGGGAUCGAAGACGAUCAGAUACCGUCGUAGUCUUAACUAUAAACUAUGCCGACUAGAGAUUGGAGGUCG